rnacentral:rRNA from 1 species
GACGAACGCUGGCGGCGUGGAUUAGGCAUGCAAGUCGAACGGUAUGGACCUUUCGGGGUUCAGAGAGUGGCGAACGGGUGAGUAACACGUAGGUAAUCUACCCUCAAGACGGGGACAACCCAGGGAAACUUGGGCUAAUACCGGAUGUGAGCAACUUUUAGUUGUUUGAAAGGUGGCGUAAGCUGUCGCUUGGGGAUGAGCCUGCGUCCUAUUAGUUAGUUGGUGAGGUAACGGCUCACCUAGGCAAUGAUAGGUAGGCGGCCUUAACGGGUGGUCGCCCACACUGGGAUUGAGAUACGGCCCAGACUCCUACGGGAGGCAGCAGUCGAGAAUAGUCUACAAUGGUCGGAAGACUGAUAGUGCGACGCCGCGUGAACGAUGAAUCCCUUCGGGGUGUAAAGUUCUUUUAUAUGUGAGCAGUGCUUCUUAUAUUAACAGUAUGGGGAGAGAGAUAUUAGCAUAUGAAUAAGCAACGGCUAACUCCGUG